rnacentral:lncRNA from 1 species
CAGCUUUAGCAAGAUUUUGAAUGACCUUGCAGGUAACAACCCCCAGCCCCCAAGACCUAGUGACUUAAAACAACAGCCGUUUAUUUGCCCGUAAGUCUGCCAUCUGGCCUGGGCUCAUGUGGGUGGUUUUGCUGCACGUUCUUGCCUGGGCCACUUACAGGUUGCAGUCAGAUGGCACCUCAGCCAGAAGGUCCAAGCCAGCCUCCUUCAGGUGGGCAGCAUGCUGGCGGCAGUGGGAGGCCCCCAGGUCUCCUCCAUGGAGCGGCCUCUCA